CCUACAUUUGACAUUGACCACCUGCUCACUGAUGCUUCAUUAUGGAAAUUCUCUCUUAUAUACAUAGGAGAUUGGUUUGAUGGUGAAUCACCACCAGGUCCACCACCACCACCAACAUCAUCAUCAAUUGAGUAAAACUCAGAGAAAUGAAUACGUAACCUUUGUUAAACGAAGACAGAAUAUGGACACGUACAUAAUAACAAAACGAGAGUUUGAAAAGACCUCGCUGUCUAAUUGCAGUGGACGACGAGAGGAGGCCAACGUGAUCCACAUCCUCGGCUUUUUCUUGAGUGCCGGAGCUCUUUGAUCCCUCGUCUCUGGAAGAAGAAGCAAUGUCAGCUGGAUGUUCAGAACCAAGAAAUCAUAAUCUGCCAUAGAAACACCAACCUGAUCUUUG